UCCCCCGUGAGGGGGCAGUCUCGCCUGACAUAUAUAACAGACAACGAGGGUUGCGUUCGUUACCCCACUGAAGGGAACAGCUCAAGCCACGAACUGACGACAACCAUGCAUCACCUGCCCAACACCCUCGAAGGCUUCCUCCGUUUCUGGAGGCGUGCAGUUGGGUUUCUAGCCUGGGUAAGGUUCUUCGCUUACCGACGAAUUAAGCCACAUGAUCCACUGCUUGUGCGAGUCCCCGUCUAUUCCUUUGAGUUUUAAGCUUGCGCUCGUACUACCCAGGCGGCUCGCUUACCGCGUUAGCUUAGUCCCGCAGAGGGUCGAUACUCCGCAGAACGAGCGAGCAACGUUUAGGGCUAGGACUAC
rnacentral:misc_RNA from 1 species